AGGCGCGGGUGUCCACUCUGUUCGUGAUCAGCCCCGACCGCUUGUGCGGCGUUGGGAGAUGGGCAGUGUACUUUGCUGGAUGCAUCGCCCUGUUCAUCCAAAGUCGCUCUGAGGUCGAGAUUACGUUUUUCAUAAGUGCAAACGAGGCCCAGGUGGAAUGAGUGAUUCGCGUGCAGUCAUCCAGCUAGGGAGGCAAACGUGGAAGCCAAAGCUUUUGCCGGUUUGCUUUUAUUUUUUUGAAUUACUUACCGAAGGCCAGCUAUGUUCAGGACCCUGGGCUGAGACUAAGAAUACAGAAAUGAACAGGCCUCUCUGGCAGAAAUACUUGUUGAAAGUGUGUUGUUGAAUGCAGGAGAAACUCCCAUCUAGACUGCAGGCCGGUGAUGAAACGUGUGAAUGAGUACAGCCGAACAAGAGCUGAGCUGGUCAUUAGGAGAUGUAAAGGCGUGCCGAGAUGAAAAACCCCCAUGACUUUGGCUGAAUCCUCUUCCCGCCAAAAGAAGAGAAAGGGUGGAGUCGGGCAGAUGCGUGCACUUCCGCCAAGAGGUAGCUGAGUGGUAACAGUCAGCAGGAACUGUCUGCAGCAAGAGAAGCAAUGCAUGCUCACUGCAGAAAAUUAGAAAACAACAAAAGGCAAAAAGAAGGCAAUGGAGAGCAGAGAUAACCACUGUGAAUGCACCAGAUCUGAGACAUUCUUUUAUAUGACAGAAUAUAUCUAUUUAUCAUUUUGAAGAAAAUAGAGUGACUCCAUGUUCUAAGAGAGCUGGGAAGUUUUCUCUUGGCUUUUUUCAUGACCAUGUUAUUACUUAACAAAAUAUGUCAUUCUGAAGCCUUAGAAAACACCCUUCCUUUACUUCUUCAAGAGUGGUGAAUUACACGUAGGCUAUUUACUCAACAUUUUUCAUUCUGUCAGCAUGGUUGGAUGCCAAAUGGCUGUUCUAAUUUUUGAAGGUAUGUUUUUUUGGUACUUGGCCAGGGAAAUCAUAACUCUUAAAAUGCUCCAUAGCCCUAACCAUACAAUUGGAUUUAUGGAUAGAUAUUAUGUUCCAUGUUUUGUUGUUUUCUCACUGUUUUAGUGUCUGGGAUUGAUGCCAAAGGCUAUUCAGCCUCACUCCAUUUAUUAAAUUAGAGUGUACAACUAAGUUUACACAAUGGAGUUUAGAUGGGGAAAAAAAAAAGACCUUGUUUAUCAUUCUACUUAGGUAUCUUUACAUCAGCGAGAAAGGAAAGUAUUAUUUCUAAAAUAUCUCAGUGAAAUCUCCUGAGAAAUAGGGUAUCAUAGUUAACGGAAGUAAUUACCCGACGCCUGAGCCACAAGAACUCCUUGCCUUAUUCCAAAACAUCUUCUCUACUGCUGCCAAAGAUGUUUUGUCCCCUGAAAUUCAAAUCUGUGACUUCCCUCCUUAAAGCCCUUCACUUGCUCCUGGUUCCUGCCCUUCAGGAUUAAUUCCAGACUCUGUCCAAUGGCAAACAGGCCUUCAGUGAUCUGACUGCCAACCUUAUUAUUAAAUCCUUGACGCUAGUCAUAUUAAAUUACUUGGAAUUCUCUGAAAAUGCCACUGCUUUCAUGCCCCUGCACUUUUACUCCUGUUUUCCCCUCUUUGUGGAAUGCUCUAUGGCACUGUCUCAGCUCAGCAUCACUUCCUCUGUGACGUCUUGCCUGACUUGCUCCGCCGCGGCGCUCUCCCCCUUCCUGGGAGAGUGGACCCUUUGUGCCCCAUCA